rnacentral:rRNA from 1 species
GCAUAUACCACAACUUGAAGAUAAUGCACCUCAUCUCAUCCGAAGCAGAAGCUAAGCAGGUUUGGGCCGGGUUAGUAUUUGGAUGGGAGACCACCUGGGAAGACGAGUGCUGUAGGCU